UACAGAGGUCCCAAGCGUUGUUCGGAUUCACUGGGCGUAAAGGGUGCGUAGGCGGUCAUUUAAGUCUGACGUGAAAUCUCCGGGCCUAACCCGGAAACUGCGUUGGAAACUAUUUGACUAGAGGAAUGGAGGGGAGACUGGAAUACUUGGUGUAGCAGUGAAAUGCGUAGAUAUCAAGUGGAACACCAGUGGCGAAGGCGAGUCUCUGGACAUUUCCUGACGCUGAGGCACGAAAGCCAGGGGAGCAAACGGG
rnacentral:rRNA from 1 species